AAUAGAUACCAGGUAGUCCACGCCGUAAACGAUGAAUACUAGGUGUAGGGGUUGUCAUGACCUCUGUGCCGCCGCUAACGCAUUAAGUAUUCCGCCUGGGGAGUACGGUCGCAAGAUUAAAACUCAAAGGAAUUGACGGGGGCCCGCACAAGCAGCGGAGCAUGUGGUUUAAUUCGAAGCAACGCGAAGAACCUUACCUAGACUUGACAUCUCCUGAAUUACCCUUAAUCGGGGAAGCCCUUCGGGGCAGGAAGACAGGUGGUGCAUGGUUGUCGUCAGCUCGUGUCGUGAGAUGUUGGGUUAAGUCCCGCAACGAGCGCAACCCUUAUUGUUAGUUGCUACCAUUUAGUUGAGCACUCUAGCGAGACUGCCCGGGUUAACCGGGAGGAAGGUGGGGAUGACGUCAAAUCAUCAUGCCCCUUAUGUCUAGGGCUACACACGUGCUACAAUGGCUGGUACAGAGAGAUGCUAAACCGUGAGGCGGAGCUAAACUUUAAAACCAGUCUCAGUUCGGAUUGUAGGCUGAAACUCGCCUACA
rnacentral:rRNA from 1 species